rnacentral:rRNA from 1 species
AUACGGAGGGGGCUAGCGUUGUUCGGAUUUACUGGGCGUAAAGCGCGCGUAGGCGGUAUAUCAAGUUAGGCGUGAAAGCCCCGGGCUCAACCCGGGAACUGCGCUUAUUACUGAUAAACUAGAGUCCGGGAGAGGGUGGCGGAAUUCCCAGUGUAGAGGUGAAAUUCGUAGAUAUUGGGAAGAACACCAGUUGCGAAGGCGGCCACCUGGACCGGUACUGACGCUGAGGUGCGAAAGCGUGGGGAGCAAACAGGAUUAGAAACCCUGGUAGUCC